rnacentral:rRNA from 1 species
AUUGAACGCUAGCGGCAUGCCUAACACAUGCACGUCGAGCGAGUGGCGGACGGGUGAGUAAUCUAUCGGGACCUGCCCCGUAGCGGGGGAUAACUACUCGACAGGGUGGCUAAUCCCGCAUACUAUCGGAUCGGCCCCUAUCGGAUUAGCUAGUUGGUGGGGUAAAGGCGCAAGAAGGCGACGAUCCGUAGCUGGUUUGAGAGGACGACCAGAAACAAUGGGAGUGAGACACGGCGAAGACGCCGACGGGAGGCAGCAGAGGGGAAUUGUGGACAAUGGGGGAAAGCCUGAUGCAGCCAUACCGGGUGUAGGAGAGGGCCAUAGGGUUGUAAAGUACUUGAGGCAGGGAAGCGGUAUCUGAAGAAGAAGCACCGGCUAACUACGUGCCAGCAGACGAGGUAAUAC